GGAAUGUUGUCUUAGUGGUAGAGUGCUUGCUUAGCAAGCAUGAAGCCCUGGGUUCAAUUCCUCGGUACCA
rnacentral:tRNA from 1 species